ensembl:lncRNA
CACGCACGCACCUUUCCUCAAUUUCAUUGGCGAUUCUGACCUGCUGUGAAAAAGAGGCGGAUGGAGGCCUCAUUUCCCGUCCCAGGCCAGUGAACUCAAACAGUGAGCAGCUCUGUCCCAUUGACAGGCUGUGAUGAAGUGGCCUUUAAGACGACUGACCAGCGCACACGAUGGAUGGGAACACAUAUGCAUGUGUGCAGGCGGGGCACCUGUACUUCGUCUGCCAUGUGACAUCGCCCUGCUGAGCUUGUCGACGGGAAGAAAGCGGCAGCCUCGUCUCAUAUGGGGAAUCAAACCGUACCAGAAUUCUGAUCUGACUUGGACCACAUCCCAGAAAGCAGCAGAGUUAAUAGC